UGGACCGUGAGCGCAUCCCUGAGUACAACCUCACCGUGGUGGCCGAGGACCUGGGCUCACCGCCCUUCAAGACCGUCCGCCAGUACACAGUGCGGGUGAGUGAUGAGAAUGACAAUGCACCACUCUUUGCCAAGCCCCUCUACGAGGUGGCCGUGCCAGAGAAUAACCCUCCGGGUGCCUACAUCACCACCGUGGUGGCCCGCGACCCCGAUCUUGGCCACAAUGGUAAGGUCACCUACCGUCUCCUGGAGACACAAGUCAUGGGGGCACCCAUCUCCACCUAUGUCUCGGUGGACCCCGCCACUGGGGCCAUCUAUGCCCUCAGAACGUUCAACUAUGAGAUCCUCAAGCAGUUGGACCUGAGGAUCCAGGCCACUGAUGGUGGAUCCCCUCAGCUCUCCAGCAGCACCCUUGUCAAAGUGAGGAUGGUGGACCAGAAUGACAACCCUCCCGUCAUCAUCCACCCGGUGCUCACCAAUGGGACAGUGGAAAUCGGCGUGUCCAGCAAGACAUCCCGCGACUCCCUGGUGGCCCAAAUCAAAGCUCGAGAUGCAGAUGACGGGGCCAACGCCGAGGUCACCUUUGCCUUCCUGGAGGAGCCCCAGCAGGACCUUUUCACCAUCAACCCAACUACUGGGGACAUUGUGCUGAGGGGCGACCUCUCUGAAGAGCUGGGGCAGCUGUUCAAGGUCAUCCUCACGGUGACAGACAACGACCCCCCCUGGCCACGACCGCCACAGUCAACUUCCUGGUGACUGCCACUGCUCCUUCUAGUAUCCAGGAGGUAGCCAAGCCCAGCUCCUGGGAAGGAAAGGCUUUGCAGUGGGACAUCCCUCUGAUCGUGAUCAUCGUCCUGGCGGGCAGCUGCACCCUCCUCUUGGUGGCUAUAAUCACCAUCGCCACCACCUGCAACAGGCGCAAGAAGGUCAACGAGAAGAAAAGCAACGCUUCCUUGAAGGAGCAGAUAGACAUCUCCCACCUGGAGAAGGGCCGGCAGGAGGAAGGCAGCCAGAGGGGGAACGUGUUUGAGGUACGAACCUUUCCCAGCAAAACCUCUUUCACCAGCCCCGACCCUUCUCCUGCUGCCGAAGAGAUCUCCGCCGCUGAGAGCGGCAGCGACAGCGCUUGCCUCUACGAGGGUCAGAAGAGGCUCAGAGGACCGAGCGGGGAG